rnacentral:rRNA from 1 species
UACGGAGGGUGCAAGCGUUGUCCGGAUUUAUUGGGUUUAAAGGGUGCGUAGGCAGCAGAUUAAGUCAGCGGUGAAAUUCCACAGCUCAACUGUGGAACUGCCAUUGAUACUGGUUUGCUUGAGUACAGAUGAGGUAGGCGGAAUUGACAGUGUAGCGGUGAAAUGCUUAGAUAUUGUCAAGAACACCUAUUGCGAAGGCAGCUUACUAGCUGUAACUGACGCUGAGGCACGAAAGCGUGGGGAUCAAACAGG